rnacentral:rRNA from 1 species
UACAGAGGCCUCAAGCGUUGUUCGGAUUCAUUGGGCGUAAAGGGUGUGUAGGUGGCGCCGUAAGUCGGGUGUGAAAUUUCGGAGCUUAACUCCGAAACUGCAUUCGAUACUGCGGUGCUUGAGGACUGGAGAGGAGACUGGAAUUCAUGGUGUAGCAGUGAAAUGCGUAGAGAUCAUGAGGAAGACCAGUGGCGAAGGCGGGUCUCUGGACAGUUCCUGACGCUGAGGCACGAAGGUCAGGGGAGCAAACGGG